GAUCAUGGCUCAGGAUGAACGCUGGCGGCGUGUCUAACACAUUCAAGUCGAACGGAGCCAUCUGAUUAAUCCUUCGGGAAGCGUCUGAGAAGCUUAGUGGCGGACGGGUGAGUAACGCGUGAGCAACCUGCCUUUGCAACCGGGAUAACAGUUGGAAACGACUGCUAAUACGGGAUGACGUACACGGGUCGCAUGGCCUGUGUACCAAAGAUGCGUCGUGCAAAGAUGGG
rnacentral:rRNA from 1 species